UACAGAGGGGGCAAGCGUUGUUCGGAAUUACUGGGCGUAAAGGGCGCGUAGGCGGCCUUCUAAGUCGAACGUGAAAUCCCUGGGCUCAACCCAGGAACUGCGUCCGAUACUGGAAGGCUUGAAUCCGGGAGAGGGAUGCGGAAUUCCAGGUGUAGCGGUGAAAUGCGUAGAUAUCAGGAGGAACACCGGUGGCGAAGGCGGAUCUCUGGGCCGAUACUGACGCUGAGGAGCGAAAGCGUGGGGAGCGAACAGG
rnacentral:rRNA from 1 species